rnacentral:rRNA from 1 species
UGGGGAAUAUUGCACAAUGGGGGAAACCCUGAUGCAGCAACGCCGCGUGAGUGAUGACGGCCUUCGGGUUGUAAAGCUCUGUCUUCAGGGACGAUAAUGACGGUACCUGAGGAGGAAGCCACGGCUAACUACGUGCCAGCAGCCGCGGUAAUACGUAGGUGGCAAGCGUUGUCCGGAUUUACUGGGCGUAAAGGGAGCGUAGGCGGACUUUUAAGUGAGAUGUGAAAUACCCGGGCUCAACCUGGGUGCUGCAUUUCAAACUGGAAGCCUAGAGUGCAGGAGAGGAGAGUGGAAUUCCUAGUGUAGCGGUGAAAUGCGUAGAGAUUAGGAAGAACACCAGUGGCGAAGGCGACUCUCUGGACUGUAACUGACGCUGAGGCUCGAAAGCGUGGGGAGCAAAC